rnacentral:rRNA from 1 species
AGGAGCGAAAGCGUGGGGAGCGAACAGGAUUAGAUACCCUGGUAGUCCACGCCGUAAACGGUGGGUGCUAGUUGUGGGCCACAUUCCACGUGGUCCGUGACGAAGUUAACACAUUAAGCACCCCGCCUGAGGAGUACGGUCGCAAGACUAAAACUCAAAGGAAUUGACGGGGGCCCGCACAAGCGGCGGAGCAUGCGGAUUAAUUCGAUGCAACGCGAAGAACCUUACCAAGGCUUGACAUAUAGAGGAAACGUGCAGAAAUGUACGCCCCGCAAGGUCUCUAUACAGGUGGUGCAUGGUUGUCGUCAGCUCGUGUCGUGAGAUGUUGGGUUAAGUCCCGCAACGAGCGCAACCCUCGUCCUAUGUUGCCAGCACGUAAUGGUGGGAACUCAUGGGAGACUGCCGGGGUCAACUCGGAGGAAGGUGGGGAUGACGUCAAAUCAUCAUGCCCCUUAUGUCUUGGGCUUCACGCAUGCUACAAUGGCCAGUACAAAGGGCUGCAAUACCGUAAGGUGGAGCGAAUCCCAAAAAGCUGGUCUCAGUUCGGAUUGAGGUCUGCAACUCGACCUCAUGAAGUCGGAGUCGCUAGUAAUCGCAGAUCAGCAACGCUGCGGUGAAUACGUUCCCGGGCCUUGUACACACCGCCCGUCAAGUCACGAAAGUCGGUAACACCCGAAGCCGGUGGCCUAACCGUAAGGA